UACGUAGGGGGCAAGCGUUGUCCGGAAUCAUUGGGCGUAAAGCGCGUGUAGGCGGUCCGGUAAGUCGGCUGUGAAAGUCCAGGGCUCAACCCUGGGAUGCCGGUCGAUACUGCGCGGCUCGAGACAGGUAGGGGAGAUCGGAAUUCCUGGUGUAGCGGUGAAAUGCGCAGAUAUCAGGAGGAACACCGGUGGCGAAGGCGGGUCUCUGGGCCGUAACUGACGCUGAGGAGCGAAAGCAUGGGGAGCGAACAGG
rnacentral:rRNA from 1 species